CCAUUGCCAACCACUGCCAAAAUCAACACCAACACCCAGGAACCAUCAACCACUGCCACCGCCAAAAUCACCACCACCACCAUCAACCAUCAAAAAUUGCCACUGCCGCCACCACCACAUAGGGUGAAGACCGGCAGCAAAGGGGGACACGCAGAAAAUCGAGAAGAAAGAAGAACCACAUCAAUUCAAUUCAUCAAAGAUAUUAUCACAGUUAAGAUUAAUUCAACCAAUUCAAUCACCACAUCACCGUCGUCGACCGUCACCACCACCAUCAAACAAAUCAACCGAAAUCAACACCAACACCACCACUCAUCGCCAUCAGAUCGAAAAAGGAAAAAAAACCCAACAGUGCAGAGUGAAAAGAGGACGAACUACAGCCGAAGUCG
rnacentral:lncRNA from 1 species